GACGAACGCUGGCGGCGUGCUUAACACAUGCAAGUCGAACGGAAAGGCCCUGCUUUUGUGGGGUGCUCGAGUGGCGAACGGGUGAGUAACAAGUGAGUAACCUGCCCUUGACUUUGGGAUAAUUUCAGGAAACUGGGGCUAAUACCGGAUAGGAGCGCCUGCUGCACGGUGGGGGUUGGAAAGUUUCGGCGGUUGGGGAUGGACGCGCGGCUUAUCAGCUUGUUGGUGGGGUAGUGGCUUACCAAGGCUUUGACGGGUAGCCGGCCUGAGAGGGUGACCGGCCACAUUGGGACUGAGAUACGGCCCAGACUCCUACGGGAGGCAGCAGUGGGGAAUAUUGCACAAUGGGCGGAAGCCUGAUGCAGCAACGCCGCGUGCGGGAUGACGGCCUUCGGGUUGUAAACCGCGUUCGCCUGUGACGAAGCGUGAGUGACGGUAAUGGGUAAAGAAGCACCGGCUAACUACGUG
rnacentral:rRNA from 1 species